AGGACGAACGCUGGCGGCGUGCUUAACACAUGCAAGUCGAGCGGAAAGGCCCUUCGGGGUACUCGAGCGGCGAACGGGUGAGUAACACGUGAGUAAUCUGCCCCUAGCUCUGGGAUAGCUCCGGGAAGCCGGGAUUAAUACCGGAUAUGACCACUUUAGACAUCUGUUGUGGUGGAAAGAAUUUCGGCUAGGGAUGAGCUCGCGGCCUAUCAGCUUGUUGGUGGGGUAACGCCUACCAAGGCGACGACGGGUA
rnacentral:rRNA from 1 species